rnacentral:rRNA from 1 species
AUUGAACGCUGGCGGCACGCUUAACACAUGCAAGUCGAACGGCAGCGGGGGGAGCUUGCUCCCUGCCGGCGAGUGGCGAACGGGUGAGUAACGCGUAGGGAUCUGCCUGUUAGAGGGGGAUAAGCCGGGGAAACUCGGACUAAUACCGCAUACGCUCUGAGGAGGAAAGGACGGGACCUGGAAACAGGCCGUGCGCUAACAGAUGAACCUGCGUUAGAUUAGCUAGUUGGUAGGGUAAAGGCCUACCAAGGCGACGAUCUAUAGCUGGUCUGAGAGGAUGACCAGCCACACUGGAACUGAGAUACGGACCAGACUCCUACGGGAGGCAGCAGUGGGGAAUAUUGGACAAUGGGGGCAACCCUGAUCCAGCGAUGCCGCGUGUGUGAAGAAGGCCUGAGGGUUGUAAAGCACUUUAGUUGGGGAGGAGAGUCUUAAGGUUAAUACCCUUGAUGAGUGGACGUUACUCGCAGAAUAAGCACCGGCUAACUCUGUGCCAGCCGCCGCAGUAAUAC